GGGGGGUGCAAGCGUUGUUCGGAUUUAUUGGGCGUAAAGCGCGUGCAGGCGGUUUUUUAAGUCUGAUGUGAAAGCCCUGGGCUCAACCUGGGAAGUGCAUUGGAUACUGGAAGACUUGAAUACGGGAGAGGGCAGUGGAAUUCCUGGUGUAGGAGUGAAAUCCGUAGAUAUCAGGAGGAACACCGGUGGCGAAGGCGGCUGCCUGGACCGAUAUUGACGCUGAGACGCGAAAGCGUGGGUAGCAAACAGGAUUAGAUACCCUGGUAGUCCACGCCGUAAACGAUGAGAACUAGGUGUUGCGGGUAUUGACCCCUGCAGUGCCGCAGCUAACGCAUUAAGUUCUCCGCCUGGGAAGUACGGUCGCAAGACUA
rnacentral:rRNA from 1 species